rnacentral:misc_RNA from 1 species
AAAUGCGAUAAGUAAUGUGAAUUGCAGAAUUCAGUGAAUCAUCGAAUCUUUGAACGCACCUUGGGCUCCUUGGUAUUCCUUGGAGCAUGCCUGUUUGAGUAUCAUGAAAUCUUCAAAGUAAAUCUUUUGUUAACUCAAUUGGUUUCUACUUUGGUAUUGGAGGUCUUUGCAGCUUCACACCUGCUCCUCUUUGUUCAUUAGCUGGAUCUCAGUGUUAUGCUUGGUUCCACUCGGCGUGAUAAGUUAUCUAUCGCUGAGGACACUGUAAAAGGUGGCCAAGGUAAAUGCAGAUGAACCGCUUCUAAUAGUCCAUUGACUUGGACAAUACUUUUAUGAUCUGAUCUCAAAUCAGGUAGGACUACCCGCUGAACUUAAGC